AUCAUAGAGAUGAAUAGCCUGUUGAUAUUUGCUGUGUUUGUUACCUGCUGUGAGUAUAAGAAAGUCUUUCAAACUGGAACGUACAUUGAGAUGUUGGCAUGGCACAUGGGAGUGCUUUGGAGUUUAACAAAAUGAUUAAAGCCGCUACUGGGAAAUGUGCCCUGUUAUAGAUGUUACUGUGGAUUAGGUGGAAAGGAAACUGCACUAGAUGUUACUGAAAGGAGCAGCAUAAUUCUGUCUAGCUACAGAAAACACUUUUCAGGGUGCUGCUAUAUCCCUGACUGCUGUUAAGGCAAACCAAGAGAAAAGAAAUUUAAGCCUGUACUGACUAAAUAGAAGUUCAGCAUCAGCGAUGGAAAAAUCUUCAGAGAGAGAGAGCAAAAAUACCAUCUGGGAAUGCCAAGUGUACAGCAAGAGAUCUUACCUGCUGGCAAAUGCCUCCUGGCUGGAGAAAUCAGGCAGAAGAGCCCAAGAGGACAACUGUGGCAGCAACAGAGGCUGGAGUUAUGGGGCAGCUGCUGCUAAGAGAUGACUGUGCUCUGUCGGUUUGGAGUGGGAAUAUUGAAGUGACAGAAAAGAGAAUCAGCAGUGUUAUAAGAAACCUCUGACUGUGGACAUGCAUGGGACUUCAGGCUCUCCAUUGCUAAAGCCAAAGGAUUGGUCUUUACCAAAAGGAAAGUUACAACGGAAUGUAAACUGCAUCUGU